CUGACCUGCCGCCCCCUGGCGGCCGCGCGGGGACCCGCAGCGCCGCCUGCCCCCCUUGUGCGACAUGUGCUGCCCGGCCCGGGCUCCAUGAGCGUGGCGGGUACUUGGCAGGGUCGGGUGUUCCCGUCCGGUUUUCUCUUGAUAAGCCGGCGCGGAGGGGAGAGAACUGGAGCGCGCAGCCGGCUCGUGGUUUCUCUGCGACUAGAAAAGAAGAAAAUGAGCAACAUGCCACGAGGAUCGCAGCAGUUGGGGAAACAACUCUUUAUCCCGGCGUGCAGCCACGAGGUCUUGGUUGGGGGAGGGGUGGGGAAGAAUAGUCCUCCUGGUUGCCCUUUUUCUCUAGCUUGGGCUGGACAGCGGAGUUCAGGCUUGCUGCUGGUCGUGUUAACAAUAUUUCGGGAGCACGUUAAUUCGUGCAGGCUUGUGAAUCUUUGUGAUUUUCCAACUUUAUUCUGUUACACACCGUUUCCCACCCCCAAUACAUUGUCGCCCUGGCCCUGUUGUCCUUGCUUUUUUGCAAACGGAUAGAACUGCCCCUGAGGAAGAUUUAGAGAAGAGCAACUUUCAACAGGGUUUAGAAGGUGGUAGUAAUUUUGAGCAAAUGUGCUUAUCCUUUCUCUGUCUUCACCCCCACCCCCACCCCUAGUCAUCCACGUGGACCUCGCAGCCCCGAAGCGUUGCCCAGGGAUGCUGGAUGCUUGCUUGCGAAGAGGGAAGUUUGCCUGAGUGGGUGAGUAGAGUCUAUUUUCCUAUUUGAACUUCUUUUAUGAAGACCUUUGGUUUUUUUUACCCUUGUCUUUGAGAUUGUACAAUAUGCUUGGUCUUUUAAGGUGUGAAAUACAUUUGCACUUUGUCAAGAUUUCUGCAAAAUUAAAUAUGGGUGAGCCAGAUUUUAACGUAGCAAGUCUACCGUGGGUUUUGGGAACUUCCAAAAUAGUUGUAGACCCUUCGAGUUGGACUCAUAGAGUAUAUCUAAUUUGGGGUGAUAACUAAGACGAUUUUUAUGUUUUAUGACUGAUAAAUUUGAAAAUGACUGAACAAUAAUCAUAUUAAUCAUUUUACUAAGUGUCUAACAGUGUGGAGCAUAGAAGAAAGGGGAUUGCUGCCUGGUCAAUCUGAAGCAUUCCUCUAAAGGCAAACUUAGCACAGAAACCAGCUGGAUUUUCCCUGUGCAUGGUUUGAAGAGUCAGUCCUACAUAAUUGCUGACACAGUGCAACCUGCAGCUGCCCGGAGAAAAGAACAAUGUCGCUAAAAUUUGUUGUGUAUGUAUCAUCCAAUUCUGUUCUGUAACUGAUAACACUAGUUUGUCUGGCUUUAGAGAAUUAGUAGGCAAGUCUCUAAACAGUGGAAACGGCUCAGUUGUGCAAGGGCAUUCUGGGUGUUUAACUGACAGUAAAGCAGCAUGCCACCUCCUUGGAGUUUCCAGACGACUUUGUAUAAGACUGCUUUGCACUGCACUCAGAACUGGUUUGCCGUUCUGUUUGUGUAAAUGAUCACAAUGCAUUGCUAGUUGUCUAGGAUCUACUCAGGAAGUGUGUGCUGAGAAUUUUAAAGUAUAGAAAGAUUGUUAACAAGGAUUUCAAUGUUUUUUUUUCUGGUAACCUAAAAUAGGCAGAGCAUUGUAAGGUACCUGGUUUAUUGUGGUUCCAGACCUGGAGUCAUGUUCAAAUUGUUUAGUGCUAGUAAAUACUGCAUUUUAAUACUCGAUGUACAUGUGAGCAGUUUGGAAUAAAGUUAUAUUGUAGCACA